UGUUCUCACCUGCUGUUUUUCUGUUCCAUCCAGUUGGCUCUCCGGCUUCUUGUGUUAUGUUUUGUUUCUAUUUGCCGUUCUCUCUCUGGAUUUCCCGGACAUUUGCAUCAGCAGUCAUCGGCCAGCCCAUUUCAGUCUCCUCACUGCCAAGGUAUCCAGGUUAACUUCCCAGCUGCAGCAGAUUAAGACUGAGGCUGCAGUGUCUCCCACUGUGCCACUGUUCCUUCCAUUACAGAACACGCCAUUUGUCAUCUAAAGCUGCAUCUACCAACAUUCAGGGCCGAAGAGGAAUUGGUAGGGGUAUGAGCUUGCCCACUGGAAGGUGAUGAGGCAUUGAUGACAUGGCACAGAUUGAGCAACUGUGGAUAUGAUGGUUGACAUCACGGGACAUACUGUGGCACCAGUACUGAACUUGGAGGGGCAAGAGGGUCCAUUGGCUGCCUGGAUGUCCAGAGCCGAGGAUGGGACUCACUAUGGGGGCUGGAGAGAGAAUUGGUCCGUGAUUUGAUGGGUUGUCGAGAGAACGGAGGCAGGACAGGACAUCAGCCUUACAGUUUCUGUUUCCUGGGUGGUAGAGCAUUGUUUGCAGUCCCCCGUGUUAAUGCCUGGUCUCUCGUUCCUGUUCUCUGUGUUCUUCUUGUUGUUGGAUCAUCUUUGUCUUUGGAAUCCCAUCCACUCCUCACCUCCCACGGAUUGUACCUUUCACCCCUCGUCUCGUUCAUCUCAGUUCCUGUGUCACACUCUCCUGCUGCCAUUCCUAACCGCCACUUCUUGGAUCACCAUCUGACAUUGUUACUCCCUGGAUCGCCAUCAUACUUUGCCUCAUCCACCGGUUAUCCUGGUUUAUGUUACUUGUGUGUUUGACUGAGUUAUUAAAUAUCCAUUUACUUGCA